UGUAAUUUGUGCACUGUUGCAUGUAACAUCGAGCACUGCAUUGUAUACAAUGGUUGUCAGGGCCUUUUUUAAAGAUUUUUCCGUGGGGGGCAUUUUUUGAAAAGGGACCUUUCUGUGAGAUAAUAUAUUGGAGGGGGAUAGCAAUGGCUUGGCUGAAGGUAACGUGUGUGGCCAACAUACCACGCAUGAAUGGGGGGGGUGUCUGGCGGAGUACUCCCCCAGAAAAUUUUUGAAAUUUGAAUCCCGGAAAUGUCAUUUCCUGCAUUAUGAGCAUCCAAAUUUGCUCCAAAAUUUAUGCUAACUGUACAUGUAUUUGAAAUAAAUAAAGGAAAAAACGCA
rnacentral:lncRNA from 1 species